CAGAAGCAUACUGCGGCGGUCCCGGAGAGGCCGUGCUUUAACUGGCGUCCUCGCUGCGGCUGGAGGCGCCCCUGGUUCUCUUUCGCCUGUCCAGUUCUACCUUGGCCUGUGCAGCCACCCUAGAUCCGCGAACUUUGUGCCGCCGCUCCCUCUACCCUGUCUUGCGGCGGCCAGCGCUAAGAAUUCACGCUACGACACUCGGUUCAGCCAGGAGGUGACACCCAAGUGUGAUCAGAAGCCAUGCCACUGGUGAAGAGGUAUAUUGAGCCCCGCCUGGCCCAGUGAGGUUACCUGAGAAUUGGGAGAGGCUUAGAUCAACAUCCUGCACAUCCUGUUAUCAAAUCAUUGUGAAGUCUUGAAAAUCACCUGGGAUGCCUGUUAAAAAUGCAGAUUCCUGGGCAGCCAGAAACCUUGUCAUUGGUCAAGAGCAACACUAAGACCUACCUGUCACUUAUAUUGAGGCUUCCUGCCCAGUGGGUUCAUCAGCAAGCCAGAACGAAUCACCAUUGCCAUGGUUGUCCUUGUGAGGCAGUUGGGAAGCCUUGUCACAGAAGCUGCAGUGAAUUCUCUCAUGGCCCUGAGUAUGCUUUGUUCCCAUGGAGAAGAACCUAACUGGAGACUGAUAGUGUGGACAUGUUUCUGGCAUCAGGGAUGAGGGAGACCUUUAGAAACAACUUGUCAAGUCCUCACCAUGAAUACCAUUGGAAUUGCAGUUGGAAUGGCACUGAAUGCAGAGAUUGAUUUUUGGAGAGCUAUCAUAUGUAUAAUCUUCUCAUACAUGAAUGUGGAGAACCUGGUAGAAGACUUCGUGUGAGGGAGAAGAAAAGGCAAGAAGCGGAGAGUGACUACAGCCUGUCUUCAUCUCAGCUUCACAAGGCAUGACUCAGCAGAGGGAGGGAUCAUCCUCUGGAGACUCUCCAGACCACAGGUUGCUCCUUUCAGUUGCAUGCUUAGCCCUCUCAGCUACUUUUUCUGUUCAGAAAUCAUACUGUAUGUGCAUAUAUGAACUGUCACUUCCCAUAAAGAGUACUCCACGUUCCCAGUUUAAAAAAAAAAAAAAAAUCCCUCAAAAAAGGUAUAAGGCUCGCUCUGUUAUCCAGUAGUCAAAAAUUGCUGGAUCCCCAAUGCUGGAAUAUAGGCCACCAGAGAGGAGUUUGGGUUUCAGCAACAAAGGCCCCCAGCUUAAUGGAAGGAAGGCAGUCAGCUGACUUGAAAGUAACCCCUAUCCCUGCAGUUCACAUUAUUCCUUCUUCCUUCAGCGCCUUGACUCAGAUACGACCACUGAUAACAGCAAACCAAAGCCAUACCUUCUCCUUCCACUGGCACUUUUCUGGCCUGUGCAGCUGCUGUUAGGAGUCACUCUCUUUCUUUAGCACUUCCUUCCUCCCAUCUCUUAAGACGCAGGGAGUCAUGAAUGCUAGAGUUGGGGUCGAAUUUGUCCUACUUGCCUCUGUGGUUGGGAAAUACUAACGUUAAUCAGCCCGAUACCCACUUCCUCCUGAUAUUAUGACAGUUACUGGAGAAGCUGUAGCCAGGGCCAGCAACCCUGUGGACCCCAGCCCCAGGACUUACUCCUGAGGUCUCAGCUGAUUACAAAAUACUAGUAGGAGGGCUUGCCCCAUCCCAGCCCCCCUUCUGAGUUAGUCAUCAGAGAUCAGGACUUGUCUUAGGGCAUAUGUUGCAUAAGAACAGAUAUCUCAGGGGUUAAUAGUGAACAAUAUCAGGAGUCCAGGUUACCUUUUAUCUCUCUUGGGGAUGGGCAGCAUAGGGUAAGUGGAAAGUCUUGUAUCCCCAGUGAUUCCUCAGGACACCCUGGGUCACACUAUCUGGUACCUUAUCCCGGGUCUUGCCUCUUCAGAGUUUUUCUAGUGCACAUCUUGCUCUCACUAACCACCUUUUAUUCCCUGCCAGACCCUGGUGGGUUUCAGUGGGUGUGGUUUUGUUUUGUUUUUUUCUUUUCCCUUCCUCAGGCCAUCUGUAACAGUCAUCAUCUGGGAGGAGCCUUGUUGUGAAUGAAGCCUCAGUGAGUGGAGUGACACCCAUGUUUUUCUCUGAAUAUAAGGAGAGGGAAGGAGGCCAUGAAAUCCCAUAAUGGAGUAACAAAAAUUUGACAUUUUAGUAGAUACUGGACCUAGAAGCCUACAUGAAGGAAGUAAACAAACCUGAGAGAUCUUGGAUGUGUGUUGAGUGAAGAUAAGAGUGAAUUCCUUAUUGCCCUUAGUAAUGGAGGAAGAGAGGGGAGAAAAGUGAGGGUCCUUUAUGUCACUGGAGGAGGCCCUGAGACUUGCUUCUUAAACCAGUGGCUUUUAAGUUGCAUUGCACUACUUCCGUUGCUGUUUGUGUGAGAGUCACUGUUCCAAGCCCUCUUCUCAGGUACAGCUGCCUUUGUAGAGAUUCCUCUUGACCCCUGUUGAGAAACAACCCAGAACGAGGUUUGCAGCUUAGAACUCUCUGGAUCAGUGACAGUUUCAGAGGGGUCGAGAACAGAGCAGGUAGCACAAGUAGUACCAAAUAGCUCAGCCUUUUUUAUAUAGGAUGGAUGGGGUAGAGGCGGAGAGCACAGUGGUUCCAGGCAACUCCAAACACCUGGUAAGGUGUAAGGAAACAGUACACUGAAAGGUCAACCCUUAGACCUAUUAUUUGUCAAUCCCCAGAGCAUGAUAGAAUAUCUAAAAGUUAUAAAGAUGCUUUCCUAGAAGAGAUUUAGAAGAGGGGAACUUCCAAUUAUGUAAUACGGGCAUUGCAGCUUUUAAAAACAUCUGUUCCCUACAUAGGUCAUGGAGAUUGAUACUCGUAUCAGCCUGUGGCUGACUAGGCCAGUAUUAACUUCAAGGUUUCAUGCUCUUGGAGGGAUCCUGCUACUCUCUUGCUUUGACAGGUGUUCAUCUGCAGUAUGAGUCCAGUACUUGAAGGAACAAGAGGACAACAGGCAUCCAGGGGACAUCAGUGUAGUCUUCGAAGUGAAGAUGGCAACAGAAAAGAUCAUGGAGUUGGCUGGAUUGGGCUGGGCUCGUUUGUUGUUUCGGAAUUUUAAAAAUACUUUUUUUCUUGAUGAUAAAAGUAACAGAUGAUCACUGUUGAAAAAUCAAAGGUAUAAAUUAAAAAGUAAAGAACACCAAUAAUCUUAUAACCCAGAAAACAACUCAACAUCUGAGUUUGUUACCUUUUGCUCCUUUAAAAAAGAAUGUAGCAUAGUUUUUUCAAGUUUUCAUUUUACUUCCAGUUAGUAAACAUACAAUGUUCUGUUCAUUUCAGGUGUACAAUUUAAAAACAAAAUUGACAUCAUAUUGUAUAUGUUGUUCUCCAUCUUUUUUCAUUUGAAAAUAAUGUAUUUGCAUGUAAUUAGCGUUCUUUGAAAACACAGUAUUGUUACAUAAUAUUUCAUAUGGAUCUAACAAAAUUUAGGUAGAUGACUGCAUGCUGCUGGACAUUUUGCAUAUUACCAAUUCUGUCUAUAAAAUGUAAUAAACUUCAU